CAGUCUGCUCCGGGGAUUCGCCCUUCCCGCCAGAGCACCACCAGAGAUUUUCUUAUUCCUUCCUGAUUGGUUAGCGUUCUUGCAGAAGAACUCAGCCACCUGACAUGCAUUUCGGAGAGUCACAGGUUGUAACCGAUUUCCAAAGAACAGAACCUAUGUCACAGAUCAACCCCAGGAUUUGCAUAAUGAGCUCUGAAUGACCAGAGGCAUUCCCAUUAGGUUUAUUUUCCCAUCCUGCUCCAGGUUUUCCAAAUCUUGAGUGUGUAAUAGCCACUACCAACAGAACUGCUCUUUACUGGAUAUGAAAUAUUUUCACGUUAGAACAAUAUUGUUGUUAUUAUUUUCUCAGAAUUUAGCUACGGACACUGUGACUCAAUGCUUGCUGGAAGUAACAAAGCCAAUAAGAGCCAGAGCUGAAAUUCAAACCAAAGCUGUACAUUUUAAAAUUAGUACUUUUUCUAAGACACUAGUUUGCCUUUGAAUCAGUACUUCCAGAUAACAAAGAAACUAAAAUGACUAAAAUUUUGUGAAAUCAGUUCUAUCAGAAAUUUCCAAAUAAAUUGCAACUGUCCCUAAGGAAGACAAACACUCGAGUAUAUGGAUAUAGAUCUGAGGUGUGAUCAACACCUUUUCAAUUCUGUUUGGGUGGCGGGGGAGGCAAGAAAAUUCUAAGGAGAGUUUUAAUAGUGUCUCAAGUAACUCAGGAAGAAGAUAUAUUUGAUUGAUACAUUUCAUUUCAGGUGGAAUUCAGUAGUUCCGUUGAAAAUUUGACCUCACAGAAUACAGUAAGUUACAAAACCAACAUUGGUUUAUGUUGAUUUAUACUGAGAAAGGUUUUCAACAUGUACUUCUCAAAAAAAUGAGUUAGCUGCAAUUAACCUAAUGAAUAAUAUUAGGAUGGGCAAUUUCAUCUCAUUGCUGGCAUCAUUGAAAAGACAGGAUUAGAAAAAGGACCUGAAAAUAUUAGCAAAGAUGCUUUUGGAUUAUUUUUCAAUAGUAUGGUAAAGAAACAUUUAUAAAGAAAGAAAAUAAAGUUGCAGUUAACCAGUGAAUUGGUAACUUUUACGAAAAAACGUAAUUAAAGCCUUUUUAAGAUGGAGCCUGAGCAGCCUUUUCAGGGCAACUGCCUUGCUUGUCCUGUUUUCUGAAUCUUUGAACUAGGCCAAACCGCCAACCUUCCUAGAAGUCAGCAAGAACAAGAAUAUCCUGUUUGAAAAGAUUGAUAAAGGUAAACUUGCGCUUAGUGACCACUUUGUCAGACCAAUCGAUGAAUUACAAACCUAGCCCUGCUUGUCAGCAUCAAUGAACUCUUCCCAAAAACAACUUACUAAUCUUCCUUUUAUUUCCCCAUAAAAACCCCGAGUCUACAUCUGGUAAUUGGGACACUAUUCAGGUUUCUACCCAAAUCUGUGUACAAUUCUUUGAUCCCAAAUAAACGUUUUGCCUCUUGA